UGGAGGGAGCUGCUGGGUUGGGGGCCGUGGAGGUGGCCUGUAGAAGUGAUUUGGCACUUGGUCCUUGAUCCACGUACUGGUUGUCUCUCUCUCCUGGUCCUACUGUGUCCUUCCCACCCUACCCCUAACUAAGCACUGGAGUAGAGGCUUUGCUUCAAGUGUGCUUUACAGGAGCCAGGCAAAGCCAGGCGCUGCCGAGGUGGACGGUGGAGCAGGGUUGCUCAGAUCUUCUAUGUGGACUGAGAUGUGUGGGUCCCAGGAUCACAUCCAGGUGGGAGACAAGCAAGGCCAUGUGUCAGCACAGAUCAGAGAAAUGCAGUUCCUGCUUGAAGAGGCAAUUGCUCACUUCUUGGAGGAUACCCAAACCCUGGCUGACAGGGGUCUGUUGGAUCCAGAAGACAUGUGGGAAUGGUUACAUCUGGACAGUGCUGAGCCACAGCCUGGAAAAGUGGGAGCGCUCACCAGUGACCCAAGCAUCAGCAUCUGGGAUAUAUCCUGCUCCGCCGUCUGUGUGGCUGCUCAAAGUAUACAGACGGGCAGGGGAGGAGGGCAGCGAGAGGGAACUGGGGUUGACACGUGAAACAAGCUGGUUUCUAAUUUACAUAAGAAAAUCAGAACAACAGCAAUAACAAAAAGCCUACAGAUGGUGCUAGCCUGUAGGUGGGCUGGAGAUAUGCUAGCAGCGUCUCCUUGGGGAGUUAGGGAAGGGCCCGGAAGGUCCCUGAGAAUUUGACAUGUGAGAUGGGAAGAUUAUCAUCUGACAGUGCUCCCUAGAUACCUGGAGGCAUCCCCCAGGUGACAGGCACAUUCUGGUGAGGGACAUCAGUGUUUCAGAGAAGCCUGGCAUUGGCAAGGGUUGCCCAUAGGGAAAGCUACCCGAAGACUGGAGCUUCCCCGCAUCGACGGUGAUUGCGGAGUUGCAGAAUGGGAGAGGCCUGCUAGAGACAUGAAGGAUAUCAUUACAUUACACUGUGGGUGUCAAAGUCCUCGUCUGUGUCUGGACAGACGUCAGCUCAGAGACCCAGACUGCAGUGGUGAAGGGUCACUAGGUUACCCUGCUGAGGGAUCCCUACAUCCCCAGACACUCUACAGUAGGGGAAUGGGUUUCUCAGCUCUCUGAGGGCUGCUGAAUCUCUCCGUGCCCAUCAAUAUAAAGACUGUGAGAUGACAAUAGCACGGGGUACCUGUGCUGGCCAGAUUUAUGUCAGCUUGACACAGCUUGGGUCGCCUUGGAAGAGGGAACCUCAACUGAGAAAAUGCCCCCACUAGAUUGGCCUGUGGGCAAGCGUAUGGUGCAUUUUCUCAAUCUGUGAUUGAUGUGGGAGGGCCCAGAUCACUAUGAGCAGUGCCACUCAUGGGCUGGUGGUCCUGGGCGCUAUAAUAAAGCCAGCCGAGCAAGUCACAGAGCAAGCCAGGAGGCAGCACCCUCCAUGGCCUCUACAUCAGCCACUGCCUCCAGGUUCCUGCGCUGUUUGAGUUCCUGCCCUGACUUCCCUCCGCGAUGGACAGCACUGUGGAAUUAUAACCUGAAAUAAACACUUUUCUCCUCAA